UUGGUCAUUUAGAGGAAGUAAAAGUCGUAACAAGGUCUCCGUUGGUGAACCAGCGGAGGGAUCAUUACAGAGUUGCAAAACUCCCAAACCAUUGUGAACGUUACCUAAACCGUUGCUUCGGCGGGCGGCCCGGGUCCUUCCCGGCGCCCCUCGGCCCUCGCGGGCGCCCGCCGGAGGAAACCGAACUAUUGCAUUGUAUGGCCUCUCUGAGUCUUCUGUACUGAAUAAGUCAAAACUUUCAACAACGGAUCUCUUGGUUCUGGCAUCGAUGAAGAACGCAG
rnacentral:rRNA from 1 species